AGAGUUUGAUCAUGGCUCAGGAUGAACGCUGGCGGCGUGCUUAACACAUGCAAGUCGAGCGAUGAAGUUUCCUUCGGGAAACGGAUUAGCGGCGGACGGGUGAGUAACACGUGGGUAACCUGCCUCGUAGAGUGGAAUAGCCUUCCGAAAGGAAGAUUAAUACCGCAUAAUGUUGAAAGAUGGCAUCAUCAUUCAACCAAAGGAGCAAUCCGCUAUGAGAUGGACCCGCAGCGCAUUAGCUAGUUGGUGGGGUAACGGCCUACCAAGGCGACGAUGCGUAGCCGACCUGAGAGGGUGAUCGGCCACAUUGGGACUGAGACACGGCCCAGACUCCUACGGGAGGCAGCAGUGGGAAUAUUGCACAAUGGGGGAAACCCUGAUGCAGCAACGCCGCGUGAGUGAUGAAGGUUUUCGGAUCGUAAAGCUCUGUCUUUGGGGAAGAUAAUGACGGUACCCAAGGAGGAAGCCACGGCUAACUACGUGCCAGCAGCCGCGGUAAUACGUAGGUGGCGAGCGUUAUCCGGAUUUACUGGGCGUAAAGGGAGCGUAGGCGGAUGAUUAAGUGGGAUGUGAAAUACCCGGGCUCAACUUGGGUGCUGCAUUCCAAACUGGUUAUCUAGAGUGCAGGAGAGGAGAGUGGAAUUCCUAGUGUAGCGGUGAAAUGCGUAGAGAUUAGGAAGAACACCAGUGGCGAAGGCGACUCUCUGGACUGUAACUGACGCUGAGGCUCGAAAGCGUGGGGAGCAAACAGGAUUAGAUACCCUGAUAGUCCACGCCGUAAACGAUGAAUACUACGUGUGGGGGGUUCAACACCUCCGUGCCGCCGCUAACGCAUUAAGUAUUCCGCCUGGGGAGUACGGUCGCAAGAUUAAAACUCAAAGGAAUUGACGG
rnacentral:rRNA from 1 species